GACGCUGAGAAUACCAAGAAAGAGGCAGACAGAGGGGAAAGAUAGGAGGAACAUAAAUACACCACUUUCGAGUGACAAGGAUUAAAGUGCAAAGCAGGGCAAACCUCACCAAGAGAAAGCAGGGGCAGAUGACCACCCAGCAGACCCUCCAGAAACAACCCGGGUAGAAACCAAGCAUCACCUGGACGUCAUUACAGAAACGCUUACCGUAGAACCAGGAAACAGCGAUGACUUCCAGCAGCACCACAGUGAUGACUGCAGGGCCUGUUGCGUACUCCUCAAACAACUUCACCACAAACGCUCCUCCCUGAGACAGGACACAGGACGAGAGAGAGCGGGGGGGAUUUCUGAAAAGCUAUUUACAAAUGACUCUGAUGCAACAGCCUUCAUUGACAAAGUCGAAGACAACAAUUAGGCUAGUAUGUUGUGAGAGUCUAAUGGAGCAGGGACGCAUGUUAGGUAUUGACACCUUACUAUAAUGAGCGUUGGAGAUUGAUUAUUCAGGAUGCUCUAAUCUGAUUUCAGCUAAUAAAUGUGGUCCAUGACAUUACUGUAAAUAGAGUAGUAACACUGAAGAUACUUUUGACAAAAGUAUGAGCCUUCUUAAUGGUUAAUGAUAUAUUUGAAUGGAUUUUGAGGAUGUGAGAAAUGAUUGGCAU